GACGAACGCUGGCGGCGUGCUUAACACAUGCAAGUCGAAGAAAGUGGCGAACGGGUGAGUAACACGGGGGUGACCUGCCCUGCACUUCGGGAUAAGCCGGAGAAACUGGGUCUAAUACCGGAUAGUGUGGGAUGGGCCCGAGGCCGAUCAGCGUGUUGGUGGGGGAAUGGCCUACCAAGGCGGCGACGGGGAGCCGGCCUGAGAGGGUGGACGGCCACAUUGGGACUGAGACACGGCCCAGAGUGCUACGGGAGGCAGCAGUGGGGAAUAUUGCACAAUGGGCGGAAGCCUGAUGCAGCGACGCCGCGUGGGGGAUGACGGCCUUCGGGUUGUAAACUCCUUUCACCAUCGACGCGGUAGAUGGAGAAGAAGCACCGGCUAACUACGUGCCAGCAGCCGCGGUAAUUC
rnacentral:rRNA from 1 species